AAAAAAAAGAACUAAUACUUAAAGAUAUAACCUAUAAGGAUAUAAGAACAUGUGAAAGCUACACGGUGGGCCAAAAAAACUAACCCAGGGUGGCUAACAGUAAGACCAGUGGACAACAGCAAAAGGAUCAAAUCACUUACAAGGGGAAAGAAAAUCAACUGGUUUCAGAUUUCUCUAUAUUCAGGCUGGGUGUGGUGGCACGUGACUGUAAUCCCAACUACUCCGGAGGCUGAGGCAGGAGAACUGCUUGAACCCAGGAGGUGGAGGUCGUGGUGAGCUGAGAUCGCGCCACUGCACUCCAGCCUGGGCGACUCUAUCUCAGGAAAAAAAAAAGAUUUCUCUAUAUUCGACAAAACUGUCCUUCAAGUAUAAACCUACAGGCAAACAGCUUUGAACAUACACAAAUUAAUGGACUGCUAGGGGGGUGAACACCUAAUAAAUUUAACUUUAGAAUGAAGACUAAAACUACCAUGGCAACUGGGGUGAUUAAAGAGCUUGUGAAUGUUAUGCGGCAGUGAAGAAAUGACAUUCUAACCAAAACUGGGCUGAGAAGAAUAAGGGAUCCCUGGCCCUCUCCAGGCCCCCUGAGAAAGGCUGGCCCCUAUGAGAUCCAGAGCACACAGCAGAGCACGUUCAAGGGCAGGCGAGUCCCUCCUUUAUUUAUUGGGGGCCAAUUAAGAAAAUGAAAACUCAGAAACUGGUUUUGGUCAGAUACAAAAAUAAUAUUCUUACCACGUUGUGAAUGGAGAUGAGAGGAGAUGGUGGCAGCUGGGAAUUAAAAAAAAAUUUUUUUUACUGAUAGCAAUGGCUUUGGCUACUCCAGGAUGCCAAGAGGAGCACAUUCUGUGGAUAUGAGCAGAUGUAGGGAGGCGGCUUCUGAGGAAGCAGGCUUAUGAGUAAGAGGCUGGAUGGCCCAGACAUCCACUUUUUUGUUGUUCUUGUUUUUCUGUUUUGUUUUGUGUUUUUUGAGACAGUCUCGCUCUGUCGCCUAGGCUGGAGUGCAGUGGCGCGAUCUUG
rnacentral:antisense_RNA from 1 species